AUAGUCACCGCGCUGCUGCGAAGCGGAGCCCGAAAUAGCGGCCUCCAGAUAAGGCAGCGACGACUCAGCGCUUCCGGGGAGCGGAAGGCACCCGGGAGGCGGCCCCGCGGUCACCGCGGCCAGCCCCAUCCGGAUCUGCACCCCCACCCCGCCGGCCCCCAACCCAUCCCGGCCCUGUCAGGUCCUGCAUCUGUCUGCCCAUCUGAUUUCCGCAUCUCUCUGUCCAUCCCACCCCGUGGGGACCGCGGAGUCCCGGUAGGCAGGUGGGCUGAGUAUUGAGAGGGUCUGAUAUUUGUGUGACUGUGGGUCUCCAGAGAUGGCUGGAGUUGGGAUUCGCCCUGUCCCUAAUUUCUGGCCCCUUAACUUGUUUUUGUGUAUUUGUUUGUUUUUGAGGCAGGGUCUCACAGUGUAACCUCGCAGUUUAAGGCUGGCCUUAAACUCACAGACAUAUAUGUCAGUUGCCAUCUACCUAGUGCUGGGAUUUAAGGCAGGGACCACGUCUGGUCCUUUUGUGUUAUUAAAAAAAUAUUUAUUGUUCAUUUAUUUUUAGACAGAGUCUCUGGCUGGCCUGGAAUUCACUAUGCUUCAACUCAGAGAUGUCUGACUCUGUGUCCUGAGUGCUGGGAUUAAAAGUGGGAUUGGGGAUUUAGCUCAGCGGUAGAGCGCUUGCCUAGCAAGUGCAAGGCCCUGGGUUUGGUCCCCAGCUCUGAAAAAAAGUGUGGCAUGCAUGACUGUUUAUUUAUUGCUCUUUUUUUUUUUUUUUGGUUCUUUUUUUUUUCGGAGCUGGGGACCGAACCCAGGGCCUUGCGCUUCCUAGGUAAGUGCUCUACCACUGAGCUAAAUCCCCAGCCCUAUUUAUUGCUUUUAAAUGUCUUAAAUAUAUGCUUUAUUUAUGUAUUUUUAUUUCCUAUGUACAUCCAUGGAGGUGAGAGGUGAAGGUACUAUCUUCAGUUCCUUUCCAUACUCUCUCUUGAGACAAGGGCUCUCAGUAAGCCUGGAGCUAGCUCAAUCCUUGGCCCCACUGGCCGACCACAGCCUCUGGAACUAACAUUGUGUGCAGCCACACCCAGCUCUGUACCUGGGUGCUGGGAUUGUCCUGAUCUCUGGUCUCCUACUGCACACAUUUUAGGGGCCUCUGGUCGUGUCGUCCUGGCUGGCUUGGUACUUACCAGCCUAAUUUCUAUUUUUUUAAAAAAGAUUUAUUUAUUCAUUUAUUAUAUAUAAGUACACUGUAGCUGUCUUCAGAUACACCAGAAGAGGGCAUUGGAUCUCUUUACAGAUGGUUGUGAGCCACCAUGUGGUUGCUGGGAAUUGAACUCAGGACCUCUGGAAGAGCAGUCGGGUGCUCUUAACCACUGAGUCAUCUCUCCAGCCCUAAUUUCUGUUUAUUAAACUAUGUAUUUAUGAUUGCUGUUCUUUGGUUUUUAGAGACAGAGCGUCUCUUUGUAGCCCAGGCUGACUUCGAACUCACAGAGAUCCGCCUGUCUCUGCCUCCUGAGGUGUGGGCCACCGCAGUCCCGGCCUGUCUGAAUGAGUGUAAGCGCAUCGCGUGCAUGUGGGAUCCUCUGGAGACCUGGAGAGGGCGCCAUAUUCCUAGAAUUGGAGUUACAAGGGGCUGUGAACCGCCUCGAGUGCUGGCAAUCUCCGUGAGAGCAGUUAACAUUGCCGAUGGCUGAGCCAUCUCUCCAGCCUUGCAUUUCUUUCUUUCUUUUGAAAGGCCAAGAUUUUAUUGUCUUCAUAACAAAAUCGCUUAGAACUGGAUCACUUGGCCCUUUCUCUUCUUGCCUCCCAAUUCAAAAUGCUCGAAUCUCUUACUAGCCAGUGUCCUCUGAGAUCUGCAGUUAGGCUCAACGCACUCCAGUCUCAGCACCACCUUCUUUGUAGUUUUACCCUUUUUACAGAAAAUGGGCUUAGUCUGCCCACCACAGCCACUGUUUCCUGUCAUAACGCCACUUUCCCUGGGCAGAUAGAGAAUCCUUGCCCUUCAUGUACUGUGUCAUCUUGAGGGGCGGCUUCCCACACUUCUUGCAGAAUGUCCGGUGGGUGUCAGGAACACUCACCGUGUUUGCAGGAGUGCUAUCAGCUCAGAAAGAAAGAGGAUCCAGCCUUCAUUUCUAUUUCAUUUACUUUCUCUUGAAUAGGUUGAGGCUCUCACUGUACAGCCUAGGCCAGCCUUAAACUCUCAAUCCUCCUGCCUCAGUCUCCUUGUCUCCUCUGUACUAUUACAAGUGUGUACUCACUCUCACACCAGGCCUUAUUUUCUCUCUCUCUCUCUCUCUCUCUCUCUCUCUCUCUCUCUCUCUCCCCCCCCCCGUGUGCGCGCACAGUUGAACAUGUAUGUACUAUAUAUGUAUAUGUUGAGGCCAGAGGUCAGCCUCCAGUGUCAUUCCUCAGGUCCUGCCCAUGCAUUUUAUUUAGAUUUUAUAUAUUUUUUUAUGUUUUGUGGAUGGGUGUUUGCCCUGCCUGUAUGGUGGUACCAGUGUGUGUGCGGUGCCCUCAGAGGUCAGAGAUGGCUGUGAGAGAGCUGCCCUGUGGACCUGGGAAUUGAACCAGGGUCCUCUGGAAGAGCAGCCAGUGCUGGAAACCAUCUCCACAGGGCCUUUUGUUUUGAGACAGGGUCUCCCAUUAGCCUGAAACCUGCUCAGGGAGCCAGCCGAGGAGCCCUGGGGGUUCUGCCUAUCUCUGGCCCCUCAGUGCUGUGCUUCAAGCACAGGGGCCAAGCCAGCGCUUUCUGUUUGUUUUUAGAGUGGAUUAACUCAGGUUCCGCCUUGUGUGAGGCAAGCACUUUAUCAACUGAAUCACCCCCCAGGUUCUUUUCUUAUUUACUAUUUCGACUGACGUCAUAAUCACACAUAUUCAUGAGGUACUAUAUCUUUAUUUUCAACUUCGCUUCUAUUGGACAAUGAUCAUAGGCUAAUUAGCAUAUCUACCACCUUUAACUUUUAUCUUUUUCUUACUAUGACAGGGUCUGACAUAGCCCAGGACAGCUUCAGACCGAUUUUGUAGACUAGGAUGACCUUGAACUUCCCUCCUGCUCCCACCUCUAGGGGCUGGGAUGGCAGGUUCGAACCCCCACACCCCAUGUGUCAUUGAUCAAUGCUAGCCUUUGUGGGCCUUAGUCAACGGGAUCUAUGCAGCAUGCAGCCCUCACAGUGUCUACACCACUGCUAUCACUGCUGUCUCCUGCUGGGCCCCUGUGCCAGUCGCCCGGGUGACACGGCUAAGCCCUGCUAGGAAGGGAAAACUUAAACAGAAGUGUUGGAUCACGCCAAUAAUCUCAGUCCUAAGGGAUCAGAUGCAGGAGUUCUAGACCAGUCUGAGGUCCAUAUUCCUAUGAGAAUUUAUCUCAAAGGAAAUGGGGGUGGGGACCCUCAGGCUGGGGCACAGGGGUGCCGCCUUUUAAGGAGAUGAAAGUUUUCCAAAAUUUCAAGUGGAUUCGAGGACAAUGGCAUGUACCUGUCACCCCAGAGACAGGAGGACUCAGAGGCAUGAAGACGGGCAGGCUGGGGGGAGACAGACAGAGACUGAAAGACAUAGAAAGGCAGAGAUACACAGAGAAACAGAGACAGACAGACAGAUGGAUACAGAGACUAAAAGAUACAGAAAGCCAGAGAUACACAGACAGAUGGACACACAGAGACCGACAGAGGCUCACAGACAGAGAGACACAAGGACACACAGAGAGACAGAGAGACAGAGAGACAGGGACAGAGACAGACAGACACAGAGAGAGACACAGAGACACAGAAAAAGACACACAGAGAGACAUACAGACAUGGAGAGAGAGAGAGAGAGAGAGAGAGAGAGAGAGAGGAAGGAGGAAGGGAGCAAAGUCUGUGGAAAUAGCCCAAUCAUUACAGUGCUUUCUGUAUAAGCAUGAAUCCCUGAAUAUUCAGUCCCCAGAUCACAUUUUAAAAUGCCAGACAUGUGUGCUGGAGAGAUGGCUCAGUGGUUAGGGGCAGUGGCCACUCUUGUAGAGGACACAGGUUCCAAUCCCAGCACCCAUAUGGUGGUUCCCAACCAUCCAUAACUCCAACUCCAGCAGGUCUGAUGGCCUCUUCCAACCUCUUCUGACCACACACGUGUACAUACAUACAUGCAGGCAAAAAGCUCACACAUAAAACGAAAUGAGUAAAUCUUUAAAAUACGAUUAAAUAAAAAAGACAGCCCAGGCAUGGGGACUGCAGAGACAGAAAAUCUCACUCUUACAGGGGACCAGGGUUGGGUUAUAGUACUCACAUGAAGACUCAGAACUGUUAUUCCAGUUCUGGAGAUCUGAUGACCUCUUCUGGCCUCUUUGGGUACUACACACGUGUGGUAUACAUACAUCCAGUCAAAACAUUUAUAUACAUAACAAUACAAUAAAAAGAAGUACAGAAGGCAGAGAAACUGUUAUAUACUAAAGUGAUUGUAUGCAGCUCUUGAUCAUUAAAUGGGUUCUCGAUUGUUUUUAUAAAAAAAAAAAGAAGUACAGAAAAAAAUGUUUAGUGCCAGCUUCUAAUUCCGUCACUGAGGAGGCAGAAGCAGGUGGAUCCCUGGAGCUUGAGUGUGGGACAGCCUUAUUCAUCUGUCUAGCUGCAGGCCCGUGAGAGACCCUAUGUAGAAGACAAGGUAGGCUGGCACCUGAGGAGUGAAUACUGGAUGCUGUGCUGUGGCUUCUACAUUCUUAUACACACGUGUGUAUGUGCACAUAGGAAUGCAGUACACCCAUAUGCCCACACUCACACGUGUGUGUGCGUGUGUGCGUGUGUGUGUGUGUGUGUGUGUGUGUGUGUGUGUGUGUAUGCUACAAUCAGAGCAACACUCAAGUUAGGGCACAAAGGCUCCCUAGAGGAUCUUCUAUAACCUUCCGGGAGGAGACUCCAAAAAGACUCUCUUUGGGAGGAUAAAAAUGCUACUACAUGGGUUCGGUCCCCAGCUCUGAAAAAAAGAAAAGAAAAGAAAAGAAAAAAAAGAAUGCUACUACAGUGCCAGUCCCUACCUACUGAGGCCCCGAGGCACCCUGAAGUGUUAAAAGCAGGGAGAUGAGUCUACUAAGUGACCUCAAAGGGACACACUAUGGUGCCAGCACAGUCAGCUGUAUGACGUCAGAGUGAUUCGCUACCUGCAGGCAUCACUAGUCAUGCCCUGGGAUGGAGAGGAGGACAGGAGGGAGUCCAGAAAUACAGUGGCUGACAGAUGAGUAGCUUGUCCCCAGCCCCAAGGAAGGGUCUCCCCGAGGGCUGAUGGGAAGGUCCACCGUUGGAGGCUGGGUCUGGAGAAGGUCUACUGGAUUCAUUGACCACAGGGCAGAUUCUGGCUUCCAGGGCCUGGGUUUUGGUGACUGCUGAAUAGCAUUCACUGCUGGCAGUAACUGCGACAGAUUAGGUACCCAAUAUAUCUAUCAUUUCCAGAAUUCCCAGGCUGGCCUUGAACUCGAGGCAAUCUCCCUGUUUCGGCCACCAGAAGCUCGGGUUGCAAGCCAUGGACCACCACAUCCGGCUUCAAUCCAUAUUAAGGAAAUGUAUGGCAAGAAAGCAACCAGCACCCUGGGGGAAUCAGUUCACGAUCUGGGACUCGGUUUACCCUACUGGCUGAUAGCCACGGUCAUGAGAAUGAGAACCUGCCACAGGGACAUCGCUAAGCCUCAGGGUACAGGGCCUGAAUUCUACAUUGGGAGGUGCCUGAGCAAGAAAAAGUCGUUCCCGCCUGGCCCUGACCCGCCCACGGUGAUGUAAGGAGUCAUCAGCUGGGAUCCCGACUCAGGCCCCUCCUUGGGGAUGAGGGAGGAGACUAACCCGGGAUCAGUGGCCCGGCUGGGUUACAUAACCAGUCCUCCUGUCCCUCGGGACGUCGCCGGACAUCCUGGCCCGGCUGGGGACAAUAGACAGGGAGGGGCUGUCUCUCCUGGCGCCUGAAAGUAGCCAGUCUCCCCUUUCUGAUUCACCCGCGUUUCCGGCUCUUUGCAACCUUCCCAGGAAGGGAUUUUGGUGUCCCUAAAUUCCAUUUGCGAUCCUAUAGCCUACAAUUCAGCUCCUCACACACCCUGUAAAUAUAUAUCCUCUACUAAGUAAGCCCCCAGUUCCUACCUUUAUAACCAUCUCUUGCAGUUCCAGAUCCCCCUAAAUUUCUAGUCCCCACAUUCCUUUUUGGUCCAGUCAUCCUUAGUCUUUCAGACCUUCCAAGCUGCGCGGACUUCGCAUUUGACCUUUCCUAAUGUCCCUCAAUAUCUCUGAAUCUUUCCCAAACUCCUCCUCUUUUCCCUCCAACUGACCCUUAGAAAUACUUCUAGCCUCCUAUUCCCAGAUUCCUCUGUCUUCUUGAAACAGUCCCAAUGUCCCUAUCUUGUCGUAGUCCCUUAAUCUACUCUAUCUCUCCUUUCCCGAGUCAAAUGACACCCCGGGUGCCAGCCCAGCACGAGAUGGCCCUGCACCCCUCCCGACGCGCUCCCACGCCGAGCCCGGAUUCCCAGGGCCGCACUCCGGUUGGUGGCCUAGAGACCCAAUUUGCGGCUGCGAAAACAUUGGUAUCUAAGGCAACAAGCCCCGCCCUGGGGCGGGUCCUGUGGGAACCCAGCAGCCAGGGCCAGGGGAGGGCGCUUGCAAGCAAGACUGGGACCAGAGCCCAGGACGCCGGGAACAGGGGUCACCGCCAUCCCCCAGUGCCCCCACCCCCACCCCCGAGUCCUGGUGUACACACAGAUCCAGACACCGGGACACAACAAGACCAAACAGACCUGGAGACCCUGGAGAAAAACAAAAACAAAAACAAAAACCAAAACCAAAAAGGCCUUCGAGCCCUGUUCCUGGGACUUCCCCCUCGCCUCAUCUCGGUUUCACAUCUGUAAACGUGGGGACCUUCAUACGCAGACCUUAGGGCAAUGUCGCUGUGGUGACGAUGAAGGGAUUCUGAAGACCUGGAGAUUGAAGCGCUGAUCACCGACACACCAAUCCAAACGGAGUCAUUCCGCAUCGAUUGAACAUUUACCACAGGCAAGUCCGUGCAGUCUGAGCUGUGAGUGCGACCAAGAUGACAGUACACUGGGCGCUUGUGAGUGGGGAAGGUCCUAGCUAAUGAAUAGGUAUAAACAUAGACAAAGCCGGGUGUUGGUGACACAGGCCUCUAAUCCCAGCACUCCAGAAGGUGAGGCAGGCAGAUGUCUGAGUCUUUUGAGGCCAGCCUGGUCUACAAAGCAAGUUCCUUGAUACCAGAACUAUACAGAGAAACCGUGUCUUGACAUAAACAAACACAAAUAAAAUAAAAUAAGACAUACAUGAAC